GGAUCAUAAAGCAACUUUCAAAUUACCAGCCAGUACUGCUGGGGCACAGAAGAAACCAUUGUGGUACAAAGUCCACUGAGCAUAGCAUCCAACAGUGAAGGUCGGACUUGGAGAGGGAAAACAGGACUUGCACGGUCUCAGUGGGUGGAAGCUGUUGGUGCUAGCUCAGCUCACAGGACACGAGUGGAGGAGGAGUGACGCUGGCUCCAGUUGCAGACACUUUUGUCCGAGUGUGUGGAGGCUGGCCUUUGGUCCAGACCUAUGAAGACAUAACAGCAAAGAAGCAAGGCACACGAGGUAGCUCAUGGUACUGUGCUGAUGUGAGUGUUUGACUUCUGGGCCAGACAGGCUUGCAUCUGUCCAGCUCAGUGCAUGGGCUCAUGCAGACAGGCAUGCACUAAAUCUGAUCCCAGGGCCAUUCCCCAACAGAACCACAAAAUAAACACAUGCGCAUUGACUGCUUUCUAGCUUAUACCGGAUGUUAAUGAGCAGAAUAAUUUGUAGUGGCUUGACUACUGCCAUUUUUUUUUAGCUUGUGGCUAAUGUAUGAAGGCAUUUCUGAUCAUAACUAUGCCAAUAACCUAUUGUCACGUCAGCUAUUGCUAACAGCAUUUACUCAAACAAAAUAUUGAUGGAGUUCUUUUUUAUUGCACAGAAAAAAAAACAAGUGGGCAUGCUUUCAAGAAUCACAGUCAGAGUACAGUAUGUCUGCAUUUAAUUAUGGGGUUGGAGCAAUUAACACUUGGGCUCUGCUUUGUUCUGUAUUCCAUGGCUGGUUGUUGAGAAAAUACAAUUCUCAAAAGCUUGCCAUUUAAAAUGUAUUUAGCCUAUUUUUAGUUAGCGUGAAGGGGUUUACCUACAGUUGCUUAGGGCUAUGAAGGUUGGGCUAAGACUCAGGAGACCCUGAUUCAAUCCAAAGUGCUCUUUGUGACAGUGGAAAAGUCUUAAUUUGUGCUGAUGUUGCACUGGCCUGCUGGAAAAUUAUUCCUUGCUGUAAGGCAGCGAUUCCAUUAGCUGUAAAGUGCUCAAAAUCUGGGCUACUUAAAAAAUAUCAGUGUUUUCUCACGUUUUAUUAUUAAUGUAUGACACUAAUAACAAUUUUCAUCAGGCAUUCACUGAUAACUAGAGACCCUUAAACCAAAACAUUAUACAAUGUGCAACCUAUAUAGCUUUGUGCCUUUUUCAUGAAUUCUCUUAAACAUCUAAGUCUGACCUAAUUCAAAAUUAUAUAUCACAAGUAUGUAUCUUAGAUUAAAACAUAUGUUUCAGACCCACUGAAAAAGUUACAAUACUAAAGAUCUCCUUUUUAUGAUUUCCCCUCACAACUUCACCUUGCAACACUUUCUUAAUUGCAAAACAAUUUUGGCUUGAACUUCUGUGUCUCAGUCUGCUGUACUGUGACCUAAAGAACAGUACAUACACAUGCAGAAAUUAACUGGUCCCUCAGGAGUACUCUUGUGCUGGAGAGUGAAGGAGGAGAAGGCAGAUUUGCAAAUAGCUAUAUUUUCUUUCACCAACUUAAUUGCUUCUGUUUGGAACUUUUAAAAUCUCACCUUACCAUGCAGUCAUUUUCAAAGUGAGCACAGCAUGACUGACCCCAAAAAAAAUCUGUUUGCUUUUUUAUUAUAAUUUUGGUUGUGAUAUUUUAUUAGUGGAGGCUGCAACACCUCAGAGGAGUAACACUCGGCUGGUUGUGGCACUUCUGGCAUUUCCUAGAUUAUACUCUGAUUAACUCUGCUAUAUUAAUAAAGACCUUUUAAUAUGCUUUUGUGAGAGUAAUUUCCUAGGGAUUUCAGGAAAGCAUAUGGAAAAACAAAUUGCAUCACAUGGCAUCACACUGACACUUCUGCGAGUCAUCAGAGUUGGACCUUUGGAUCUCUAGCGGGAGGCAUCACACCCUGAUCACAUUAAGGAUUACAGCAUCAGGAACCAGAGUUUUCAAAUUUUCACCUGAUCCUUUUCGUCAGCUCUCCAGAGCUUCCAUGCACCAGAGUGUGACCACAGCUGGCUCCUCUUGGACCCAAAAGGGACAGAGCUAAAAGGCAGCAGAGAAACAAACCUCUGUUGCCUUCUCUGAUUACAGCUGCAGAAUGAUUUUGAGAAAUUGCUAUUGAGAAAUACAUCAACAUAUUGUUGAUGCCUUUGGCUUAGUGAGUGAUGAUCUAAUUUCUGUUCAAUUGACCAGCAGCCAAUUCACAUUUGGAUCAAAGUUUGAAACACAGCUUGUUUCUUAUUAGGGUGAGCUGGUCAUUACAAAUGUGAAUCAUAACAACCUUUAGUAAGGGAUUAAUCCUGCAAAAUGAUGAACACUCUGAAGGAGGGCAGGUGCUCAGUGUACCACCAACCUUGUUCUUCACAUUACCAAGUCACACCAUUUCUAUGAAUCUGACCUGCCAAAUUAUUCAUGAAGCCCUGUUCUGUAAAUACAGACAUUCAUACAGACAAAUAUGUUGUACUGUUCGCCAAGGAAGGAAAAAUUAAUUAUACUCUAUGGUCCUCAUUCACACCUGCAUUAUGGAAGACUUAGGUCAAUCUAAACCAAAUUUAACUAAAACUGUGGGAGAUGGUCUUUCAAUGAUUUGUCUAUUUUACUCUGAUUUCUGUCACAGAUCACCAGAAUAAACCAAAUGCCCUGAGCAGUCAUAAAUAGAUCUAUCCUACUUUUGUCUAAAAAUAAAAAGCUGCUUUAACUUAAUCAGUAGUAGCAGUUGCAUGACACAAAUGAGAAGAUUACUGGAAUUAGUUUAGAUAAUAAAAAUGCUCUGUGUCCCUCAUUAAAAGUCUUAACAAGAGUUACUAAAAUUGAAAGGAACAGUUGAAAGAUCAGGGUCAACAUCUGUUUAAUUUUUAGCUAUUUUAAUUCUAGUUCAUGAUUAU